UCUCUUAUCCACAUGGAGGUGUGCUUCUUCUUUUAGCUCUCUCCCUCAGGGGCGGAGCCAAGGGGGGGCGAGCAGGGGCUAGACCCCCCCCAUCGAUCAGCCCCCCUAUGGAUUUCGCCAGGUACAACUUAGUGAUCAAAGGUUUGCAAGUGGUUGGAAACGCGUAGCUCCCACGGAUGUGUACUCACAAACUACACCACCCUUGCUUUCACCUAGCUUUAUCAUGACAUCUCACAUGCUUUGGAUUAUGGUUCAUGAUAGCUAGGUUUGCUUGUUGUGUAAAAAGUAUAAACCUUGUUUGGUUUGUGGUCAUGACUACGAAGGUUGUUUGUCUGUGGCGUAGCAGGGUGGGACUUCACCAUCUAGCUCCGUAUGUGUUGUAUGAGCUUGUUUAUGCUUCCGCUGUUUGUGGUACUCUUAUAAAUAUAUUUUGUUUAUUUCAA